UCAUGCAAGAAAUUCUCAUAAAUUGCAACACUGUGAGAGAGAUCACACUUCUGCGAUGCAGACACCAAACUCAGGAGGCAGUGGAUUCUGCACAGUGGCAGAUAACCUCGCAGUCAAGCUUUCCCUUUGUAAUCUCACGAGGUGAGCUGUCCUUGUCCUGGAAAACAAGGGGCCACAUUGGCCUUUGCAGGCCAUUCAAAACUCCAUCCUCUUCCUCAGCUUCUUUCAUCUUAUUUGCUUCAAGAAAAUUAUUUUAAGCCAAUGAGUUCCAGGAAGCAGCAGGACAAACAUUCACCUCUUUGCUCUGCCCAAAGCAGCCAUUUUAACCACAGGCGCUCCUCAGAUUCCACAGUGAAGACCAAAUUUAAUUGAUUUCCAGUAGCUCUUGAGGAUGAAUUUGUACCGCCAAGCAAUAGGAAUCGCUUCCUUUAAAACGGAACCCCACAUCUUCCUCUCCAAAAGAUGUUGUCUUGCUGCAGCAGUAAGAAAUGAAUAGACUUUUUACACAAUCUUUUAUUGGAAAAAAACACACUGGAUUACUAUACAAUAUAAUCGUGCAGCCAGAACUAAUGGAACUUCAGAGCCACGAGCCCCGAUUGUUGAGUUCUAGCAUUCCCGAGCAUAAUUAAAAGACUGCAGUAGUCCGUAUAAACAAACCCAUGUAAUUAUGUAAACUAUGUUAUAAUCUUGCGGAUGACAUGAGGCUAGUUUAUGCAGUUUCAGCCAAAUAGUCAUAAUAUUAACAAUACAGCUUGCAUGCAUUGUGUGAAUACCAUGUGCCCGGCACCGCAUUAACAUCUAUUCUUUGCUACAACCUUGAGGGUCCCAUUACCUCUGUUUUACAGAUGGACAAACUGAGCCUUGGUGAGGCUAAAUAAUCAGAUCUUUCUCUUUUUUUUUGUUUCCAGAGUUCUUCCUCACCCUCCACCAUUUCUCAACACCUUUUGUAUGUUGCUUCUCCUCUGAACUAACUCAGGAGACUUUAGUACUUUGCCAACAAUAUGCUAGCUACAUCCCUCAAGUUUUGAAAAGUACUUUUACGUUGAGACUGACUUGGAACAUAGGUUCUAACUUAAUCCAUGUUCUUUUGUUCUAAGCAUCUCAUGAUGGCAAUAACUGUCUCUGGUGGAUUCAGGUCUGGGAUCAGCCAGGAUUGGCUGAGCCCUUCCUGUAUCAUUUUUUGAGGAGAACUGAUUUUCUGUAGGCCAAUCCUUGGACAGAUGCAUCAAUCUAACUUCUAUCAACUUUACUCAUAAACACAAUCUGACGUUGUUAAAAGAAAAGCACAUGCAGGAGAAUCAUGUAGUUUAUUUUUUCCAAAACCUGGGAGGUAGCUAUUCUUCCCUGACUUUACCGAUGACAGCACAAUGUUGCACAGCCACACACCUACGACUUCUCUUCUCAACACUCAAAUGAGGGCUGCAAAACACCUGGUGUGCAAGCAGCCACUUCCGUGGUCUGUGCUCAUGUUAAACCUCACGCAUGGUAUUUGUCUUACGUUAGGUUCCCCCAGACACAGACCCUGAGAGGAAGAUUUGAGUGCAAAACAUUGAUUUGGGAGUCAAUCCCAUCAUAAGGGAAUGGGGAGUUAAGAUAAGGAACUGAAGGAAGCCAGUGCGUGGUGCACUAAUGAGCAGGUUAGCUCCACGGGCAGGUGGGGCUCAGGUCCACUGGGGACCUCUGCGAGGGCACAUGGAGCAUGCCUCAGAGUUGCCUUCCGCCAGGGUAUUUUCCACCAACUCCAGCCAGUCCUUGACUGUUUCCAGGGGUAUUACGGGCAAGGCACUUUCUGCCUGCCUGGCCCACACUAACUGCCAGCUCUAGAGGCCAUAGGAAGUCCCUAAGCAAGGCGUUGCAGUUGAAGUCUGUGAGCACUGAGCCACGGAGUGCUGGGGGAUGCAGGUAGGCGCUCUGACAGGGUUGCGUUGCAGUUGAAGUCUGUGAGCACUGAGCCACUGAGUGCUGGGGGAUGCGGGUAGGCGCUCUGACAGGGUUGCGUUGCAGUUGGAAGUCUGUGAGCACUGAGCCACUGAGUGCUGGGGGAUGCGGGUAGGCGCUCUGACAGGGUUGCGUUGCAGUUGGAAGUCUGUGAGCACUGAGCCACUGAGUGCUGGGGGAUGCGGCAAGGCGUAGCGGUUAAGAACACAGACUCUGAUGUGAGACUACCUGACUCUCCUCCCAGCUGCUCAACCAAAUUGCCAAGUGACCUCAUGCAAAUGACUUAAUUGCUCCAGGUCACAGUUUUUUCAUCAGUAACUUCAGAACAAAAUAAUAUCCCACAGGUUUUUGUGAGAAUUAAAUGUCUAUCUGUCUAUCUAUCUAUCUGUCUAUCAUCACUUAGUAAGUAAUAGAAGUGCAAUCUGUUAUUAAUAUCAAUAUGCUCACAUAAUUUACAAAAAAUAAGGAUCAAGGGCUGGCCCGGUGGCUCAGCAGUUAAGUUUGCACGUUCCACUUUGGCGGCCCGGGAUUCGCCGGUUCGGAUCCCGGGUGCGGACACACUCAGCAAGCCAUUCUGUUGUAGGGGUCCCACAUAUCAAGUAGAGGAAGAUGGGCAUGGAUGUUAGCUCAGGCUGGUCUUCCUCAGCAAAAAGAGGAAGAUUGGCAGCAGAUGUUAGCUCAGGGCUAAUCUUCCUCAAAAAAAAAAAAAAAGAAUAAGUAUCAGAUUAGAUUUUAAAAGCAAAUGUGGUGAGUCUUUGGUAACUUUACUUCCCAUUUUAAAUGGCAACUCUUAGUCACUGGGGGAUCCAGAGGCUGUGCUCAUGUAACUGUACUUGAUAAUCCAGGAAGGGAAAAAGACUGAGGAAUAAUUUGUCAUUUUGCUAAAGGAACAUGGAUCCAAUUUCUGCAGCUAGGAGAAAAAAAGCACUCUGUUUUUCAAUGCACAUUAAAAGAAAAACCUCCUGAAAACAGUACUGAGAACCUUGUCCCUUGGUUCCUUUAAACCUGAGAGCUGAAUUUCAUUGAUUUCAUCUAGUAAAUGGAUCCCAGGCUUCUUAAAUGGGACAAAAUUGAAUUCGUAUCUUCAGAGCCUGUACUCCGCAGCAAUCCUCUUGG
rnacentral:lncRNA from 1 species